GUUUUACGACCAUGUAUACUUCAUCUUAACUCACUUUCUAUUUACCAGUUUUAUUUAGUUAACGACAAUUUCGGUCUGCAUUUCUUCAAAGUGAGCCAUCUUAUUCAACAUGAUAGAUGCUGGAUGCGCGGAACAAAUUUAACGUUCCAGAAAAAUUAUGCAACAAAACGGAUAGAUUAGAGAGGAAAAGUGGGUAGGACAAAUGAGAAAGAUUAUAUUCUUCUAUAUAUUCCUUCAUUGAUCAGGUAUAUAUAUAUGUAUAUACAUAUAUAUACAUAUAUAUACUCGAAACUCAACCGAUGCGAUGUAUCGGUUCUUCUCGAGGGAUCGGCGAAUCAUUCAGUGGGCUGCUUGAAACAAGGCCAAUCUUAAUUAGGGGAUGCACCGGCGGAUACGCUCCCAUGAGAUGCUCAUUGUUCUCCUACCUUUUUACACCGUUCUCCGAUGCGGCGCCAUAGCAGAGAAAGAGGAACGUCUACAUGGAUGUGGUGCGUCUAAAAGUGCAUGCCCCGUGCCCCUGGGAUAUCAAGUAGAGUACUAUCGGUCUCCUCCAACGUUUACCAUAGAACAGAAUUCCUUGGAUCGACGGAAGAUCACGCAUACAUAGAGGGAGUCCGCGUAUGCACACGUGACACUUAAGGAGUUACGGCCACUACCACGAAACCGAUAUCCCUGUCGAUAGUACGAUAAUUUACGGCCACGCGCAGCUUUAAUUAAAUUUUCUAGCUGUACCCGGGCCCGGCAGGUGAAUGACAGCGGCACUGGUCUUCGACGGAUGCGGCGACGGAAGUGGCAGAACGAAGACAUAUGUGGGAGCAUCGAGUCGAUCGGUGGAAAUAAAUUGUUGAGAGAGAAAUUGAGGUGUUCGAUUGUCGUUCGAAACGUGAUAGUGAAUUUUCGUAGAAAGAUUUAUUGGGUUAUUCAGUAACGUCAUUUAAAAACACGUGGUCGCAAAGAAUUAUAAGAUUU